rnacentral:rRNA from 1 species
UGGGGAAUAUUGGACAAUGGGCGAAAGCCUGAUCCAGCCAUGCCGCGUGUGUGAAGAAGGUCUUCGGAUUGUAAAGCACUUUAAGUUGGGAGGAAGGGCAGUAAGCGAAUACCUUGCUGUUUUGACGUUACCGACAGAAUAAGCACCGGCUAACUCUGUGCCAGCAGCCGCGGUAAUACAGAGGGUGCAAGCGUUAAUCGGAAUUACUGGGCGUAAAGCGCGCGUAGGUGGUUCGUUAAGUUGAAUGUGAAAGCCCCGGGCUCAACCAGGGAACUGCAUCCAAAACUGGCGAGCUAGAGUAGGGCAGAGGGUGGUGGAAUAUCCUGUGUAGCGGUGAAAUGCGUAGAUAUAGGAAGGAACACCAGUGGCGAAGGCGACCACCUGGGCUCAUACUGACGCUGAGGUGCGAAAGCGUGGGGAGCAAACAGG